AUGCUUGUUUUGGCAGUAUAUAUAUACUAAAAUUGGAACGAUGCAGAGAUUAGCAUGGUCCAUGCGCAAGUGUAACAAGAAAACAUAUUUUU
ensembl:snRNA U6 U6 spliceosomal RNA